UACGUAGGGGGCAAGCGUUAUCCGGAUUUACUGGGUGUAAAGGGAGCGUAGACGGCAGCGCAAGUCUGGAGUGAAAUCCCAUGGCUUAACCAUGGAACUGCUUUGGAAACUGUGCAGCUGGAGUGCAGGAGAGGUAAGCGGAAUUCCCGGUGUAGCGGUGAAAUGCGUAGAGAUCGGGAGGAACACCAGUGGCGAAGGCGGCCUACUGGGCUUUAACUGACGCUGAGGCACGAAAGCGUGGGUAGCAAACAGG
rnacentral:rRNA from 1 species